rnacentral:ribozyme from 2 species
UCUGUAAUGUAACCAAAGACGGUUGUAAGUCCGUUUGAGAAAUACAGAACACAGA